AUUGAACGCUGGCGGCAUGCCUUACACAUGCAAGUCGAACGGCAGCAUGGAAGAGCUUGCUCUUCUGAUGGCGAGUGGCGAACGGGUGAGUAAAGCAUCGGAACGUACCGUGUAGUGGGGGAUAACGUAGCGAAAGUUACGCUAAUACCGCAUACGCACUGAGGUGGAAAGCAGGGGAUCGCAAGACCUUGCGCUAUACGAGCGGCCGAUGUCAGAUUAGCUAGUUGGUAGGGUAAAGGCCUACCAAGGCGACGAGCUGUAGCGGGUCUGAGAGGAUGAUCCGCCACACUGGGACUGAGACACGGCCCAGACUCCUACGGGAGGCAGCAGUGGGGAAUUUUGGACAAUGGGGGAAACCCUGAUCCAGCCAUGCCGCGUGAGUGAAGAAGGCCUUCGGGUUGUAAAGCUCUUUCGGCUGGGAAGAAAUCGCACAGGCUAAUACUCUGUGUGGAUGACGGUACCAGCAUAAGAAGCACCGGCUAAUUCCGUGCCAGCCGCCGCCGUAA
rnacentral:rRNA from 1 species